UGAAUUUCGGGGUCAGUGGGUUGGUCGUGCCACAGGUACGUACUGGACAUCAGGAUUCCUCCCUCUUGACGAGCCGUAAUGCCAUUAAUUUGGUGUUGCGGGGAAUCAGGACUGUUACUUUGAAAAAAUUAGAGUGUUUAAAGCAGGCAUGCGCUUGAAUACAUUAGCAUGGAAUAAUGAAAUAGGACGUUCGAUCUUAUUUUGUUGGUUUCUAGGAUUGACGUAAUGAUUAAUAGGGAUAGUUGGGGGCAUUAGUAUUCAAUUGUCAGAGGUGAAAUUCUUGGAUUUAUUGAAGACUAACUACUGCGAAAGCAUUUGCCAAGGAUGUUCUCAUUAAUCAAGGACGAAAGUUAGGGGAUCGAAGACGAUCAGAUACC
rnacentral:rRNA from 1 species